AAGAUUAUUGUUUCAGGGAUCAUUACUAGAGUUUCUGACUUAAGGAAUGUGUUUCUAAAGUGUUUGGUCUCUCUGACCACAAUGAUGAGUGGUGAUAUUCCUUUCUGUGCGUGAAGCUGUCAGAGAGUAAUGCUUCACUUCAUAUGCGCUCUGUCAUUGAUGAUUGGUCAUUGUUUCUUUAUGGAGCAUUGAGAAAGGGAAUAUGAUCAGAGUGGU